ensembl:antisense Gm15731 predicted gene 15731
AUGCUUUGGAUCUUAAAUCCCCUCCAAAGGCCAUUGUUUGACCUCCAACCUGCAGUGCUACCUAAGGGCGCAGGGGCAGCAUCUCAGAGGUGAGACUUGAGAGGAAGGACAUUGAGUCACUGAGGACUGCUGCUUCCUAUUGAUAAAAGCCCAGGCCAGAUAAAUUGAACAAAGUUAAUGAAUAGAAAAUGCUCUUGCACUGGGCAACAUUCCAGACCAAAGACAAUCCAGAAGGCCCCUCCUCACUACAUGUCAAUUGAGCUCAGGCCCCUUGUGCUUGCUGACUAGAUGCUGUACUUCUGAGCUCAGAAACACCUUCCCUGGAAAACAACAGCAACCUUUAAUGCUUAGUUCUCUAGGAGCUAGAGAGAUGGAUCAGUGGUCAACAGCAUUGAGUGCUCUUCCAGAGGUCUAUGGUUGGAUUCCCAGCACCCACAUGGAAGCUCACAAGAUCUGACACCUGCACACAGACAGAACAAAAGAUAACAGGCAAAACACCAAGAUAAAGGAGCUGUGAAGCCAUCUGAGGGAGAGUUUCACUGGGAUCGGUAUCUGAGGGACAGAAGAUCCACUCCUGCAAUUGAAAGAAAGAUGAAAUUUUAAGACCUUAACCCAGAGCUGUUCCUGGUCUUCUCUCAAAGCCUCUGGUUCUGGGAAAGCCCUUGGUCUUGGGUAAAGAGACAAGAAAAGGGACUAACUAAGCUUAGUGAAGUAUAGACAUCUGGGAUGAGAUAGCAAAUCAAGUCUACCAGUGAGCCGAAACAGCCUCCGCAGAUGAGGGAAUGGGACGCUAACCUGGAGGAUUCCACAGGCUGCACUCAGAGGAAAAUGCAGAUACUAGAGCAGACGAUCACAUCGAGGUACCCGGUUAGGUCAAGAAGGAUGUGAGGCGAACCUUCAGAUGUGGCUGCAACCCAGCCACACCCAGCCUGGGUCUGCCCGGGCUCUGCUGUCCUUUCUGCAGGCAAUUUCAGUUCAGUGUUGCUUUACAGUAUUGAUUUGGGAUGGGCUAUUGGCCUUCACGAUUAUAGCUACAGAAAUGUAAUUUCUAGAUGAAACAUGGAAUAGAUCCAAGCAGAAAAUGUGAACACAAGAGUUUUCAGAGUAAAGUUAGGAAAGCAUUGUCACUAUCAAAGAGAAUGCUUUACUAAUCUCGAAUAGCAGAAUAUUCUGGCUUCAUAUGUCAUAUANNNNNNNNNNNNNNNNNNNNNNNNNNNNNNNNNNNNNNNNNNNNNNNNNNUAUAUAAAUACAAUAUAUAUUGUUUUAAAACACAGAAAUAGUUGAGAAAUCACCCACCUAAUGUUGCAGUGCUCUUAUGUCUGCCUCCUAGGAUGAUAGAAAUGGGCCACAAUUCCUGGCUUCCAACUCAUUUUUAAAAAGAGUGAGUGCAUCAUUGGUAAAUGGCAAAACUGAAAUAUAAAAGGAAAAGAAACUUAUGAUUCAUAACUAAAUAGCGAAACCCGGAAGUAUCCAGUAGCAAAUGAGCUGAAUGUCAAGCAUGUGAAUAGUCAUGGGAAGCAAGGCGUAUUCCUCUGGGGAAAGACAUCAUCAAUGGUACUGAGAGAAAAAUGUGAAACUAUAACGCCUUUAAAAAACUUGGUGUAGCCUCAUUGCACGUGGUACUGGAUUUCACAAAGGCUCUUACACAUUCUCACACUUUCUCACGCAUUCUCCAUUCUCACACAUUCUCACGCAUUCUCACACAGGUAUAUGAUGAACUUUGGGUGUGUUCCUGUUUCAUGACUCCCCUUUCUGCUCUCCCUUCUCUUUAGUCCCUUUGAUUUCCUUACACAGUUUCAUUUCUACUUAAUGUCAUAUAUGCAUAGCUGAUUUUAUGAAUCUAUAAAAAUAUAGGAAGCACAAGUCAGAGAACUCAUGUAAUAUUUGUCUUUGAGUAGCUCAAUAUAAUAAUCUCCCAAUGUGUCUAUUUUCCUACAAAUGGCAUAACUAUAUUCUUUAUGGCUGAAUAAAAUUGUAUUGCGUAAGUAUAUCAUAUUUUCUUAGCCUGUUCUUCCGUUAGCGAAUACCUAAACUAGCUCCAUAGUGUCUGCCAUGAGUGCUGUAAUAAAUAUUGCUGUACAAG